UACGGGGGGGGCAAGCGUUGUUCGGAAUUACUGGGCGUAAAGGGCGCGUAGGCGGCUCUUCAAGUCAGCCGUGAAAUCUCCAGGCUUAACCUGGAAGGGUCGGUUGAUACUGUCGAGCUAGAGUGUGGAAGAGGCAACUGGAAUUCCGUGUGUAGCGGUGAAAUGCGUAGAUAUACGGAGGAACACCUGCGGCGAAGGCGGGUUGCUGGGCCAACACUGGACGCUGAGGCGCGAAAGCUAGGGUAGCAAACGGG
rnacentral:rRNA from 1 species